rnacentral:rRNA from 1 species
UACAGAGGGUGCGAGCGUUAAUCGGAAUUACUGGGCGUAAAGCGUGCGUAGACGGUCAAGUAAGUCGGGUGUGAAAGCCCCGGGCUCAACCUGGGAAUUGCAUUCGAGACUGCGUGGCUAGGGUGCGGAAGAGGGAAGCGGAAUUUCCGGUGUAGCGGUGAAAUGCGUAGAUAUCGGAAGGAACACCAGUGGCGAAAGCGGCUUCCUGGUCCAGCACCGACGUUCAGGCACGAAAGCGUGGGGAGCAAGCAGG